rnacentral:rRNA from 1 species
GGCUGCUGUACCGUGACCUGCGGAGGGUCAUUACACAAAUAUGAAGGCGGGCUGGAACCUCUCGGGGUUACAGCCUUGCUGAAUUAUUCACCCUUGUCUUUUGCGUACUUCUUGUUUCCUUGGUGGGUUCGCCCACCACUAGGACAAACAUAAACCUUUUGUAAUUGCAAUCAGCGUCAGUAACAAAUUAAUAAUUACAACUUUCAACAACGGAUCUCUUGGUUCUGGCAUCGAUGAAGAACGCAGCGAAAUGCGAUAAGUAGUGUGAAUUGCAGAAUUCAGUGAAUCAUCGAAUCUUUGAACGCACAUUGCGCCCUUUGGUAUUCCAAAGGGCAUGCCUGUUCGAGCGUCAUUUGUACCCUCAAGCUUUGCUUGGUGUUGGGCGUCUUGUCUCUAGCUUUGCUGGAGACUCGCCUUAAAGUAAUUGGCAGCCGGCCUACUGGUUUCGGAGCGCAGCACAAGUCGCACUCUCUAUCAGCAAAGGUCUAGCAUCCAUUAAGCCUUUUUUUCAACUUUUGACCUCGGAUCAGGUAGGGAUACCCGCUGAACUUAA